AUUGAACGCUGGCGGCAGGCCUAACACAUGCAAGUCGAGGGCAGCGGCGGACGGGUGAGUAAUAUAUAGUUAAUCUGCCCUACACAGAGGAACAACAGUUGGAAACGACUGCUAAUACCUCAUAGUGUAGGAUGAGACUAUAUCGUAUCAGCUCGUUGGUAAGGUAAUGGCUUACCAAGGCUAUGACGCGUAACUGGUCUGAGAGGAUGAUCAGUCACAUUGGAACUGAGACACGGUCCAAACUCCUACGGGAGGCAGCAGUAAGGAAGAUUGCGCAAUGGGGGAAACCCGGACGCAGCAACGCCGCGUGGAGGAUGACACUUGUCGGAGCGUAAACUCCUUUUAUCAGGAAAGCGGUACCUGAUGAAUAAGCACCGGCUAACUCCGUGCCAGCAGCCGCGGUAAUAC
rnacentral:rRNA from 1 species